GGCGGCGUAGCUCAGAGGCAGAGCAAACGGCUCAUAACCGUUGAGUCGGCGGUUCGAUUCCGCCCGCCGCUA
rnacentral:tRNA from 1 species